GUUUGUGACACAGUGGUAGAAUCCUUGCCUAGCAUGCAUGAGGCACUGGGUUCGAUCCUCAGCAACACA
rnacentral:tRNA from 1 species